GAUGAACGCUGGCGGUGUGCCUAAUACAUGCAAGUCGAACGAGCUCUUCGGAGCUAGUGGCGGACGGGUGAGUAACACGUUGGUACCUGCCUCGAAGUGGGGAAUAACUGCCCGAAAGGGUGGCUAAUACCGCAUGUGUCCGCAAGGUUAAAGCAGUAAUGCGCUUCGGGAGGGGCCUGCGUCCCAUUAGCUUGUUGGUAGGGUAAAAGCCUACCAAGGCGACGAUGGGUAGCUGGAUCGAGAGGUUGACCAGCCACACUGGGACUGAGAUACGGCCCAGACUCCUACGGGAGGCAGCAGUAAGGAAUCUUCCACAAUGGACGAAAGUCUGAUGGAGCAAUACCGCGUGCAGGAUGACGGCCUUCGGGUUGUAAACUGCUUUUGUAUGGGAAGAUUAUGACGGUACCAUAUGAUAAGCACCGGCUAACUACGUGCCAGCAGCCGCCGUAA
rnacentral:rRNA from 1 species